rnacentral:rRNA from 1 species
GACAGAGGGUGCAAACGUUGUUCGGAAUUACUGGGCGUAAAGGGCGCGUAGGCGGCCUUCUAAGUCAGACGUGAAAUCCCCAGGCUUAACUUGGGAACUGCGUCUGAUACUGGGAGGCUUGAAUGCGGGAGAGGGAUGUGGAAUUCCAGGUGUAGCGGUGAAAUGCGUAGAUAUCUGGAGGAACACCGGUGGCGAAGGCGGCAUCCUGGACCGACAUUGACGCUGAGGCGCGAAAGCUAGGGGAGCAAACGGG